GAAAAGUGCCCCCAGGAAGAAUGCGGCUUUUGCCUCAUGUUUUUCUUUUCUCUCAAGGAUUAUAGCUUCAUAUUACCAUUGCCUAAUGUCUGAAUAUAGAUACUUCAUAUACUUUGUUCAGUUUUGUAGUUGUUUAUAGCAGGAUGGGAAAGUCUCCAGGAAAGUGGAAGUGUUUACCAAGCCCCUCUAAGUUGGGUAACUCCAAACCCUGUCUCCCUUGUGUAUAAAGCUUGCUGGUGGCAAUUUACCCCAGUGUGACUAUCGGGAGCAGUGAAAUCUGCUGGAGAGAAGCCACAUGUACAUUUUUCUCAGUAAAAUGAUGACAAGAGAUCAAUUAAGGAGAAAGAAGAAUGUUAAUCCAACAUGGAAAAGGCCCACCCUAAUUGAAGAAUGGUGAACAGGAUUCUGGUCAAUGAAUUAUAGCCUCAUUUUAAAAUUCACUCAUCCAUUUGAUAAUUAAUUAUAAUGGCAUCUUACAUAAUCAUCAGAGGCUUUCUCUGAAAAAUACAUGGAGAGUUUUGUGCUAUCAUCACCAGAGCCAGCAAUUCAACCUAAAUUCUGAGUGUAAUGGAAGCCGUUAAUCACUAUCAAGUUCAUCAUUUUUUUUUCAUGCAAUCAACAGAGAAAACUUCUGUGACCAUAUAUAUGAGGCUUUUUCUGACCAACAAGAAAGAAAUCAAUUCUGUAGCAGAUACUAG
rnacentral:lncRNA from 1 species